UGCAGAUUCAGCUAAAGAUGUGUAUAUGCUAGACUGUGAAGUACCAUUAGAAGAUGAAGCAAUGUAGGACCUCUUGAGCUAUUUUCAAGGUAAACUGGAGGUUCACUUGGGAUGCAAUGAAGAGCCCCUGACAAGCAUAUUCUUCAAAGCCUCCCAUGGUGUAACUGAAGAUACGAUAUGUGAAGUAGCCCUAGCUUGCCUGCUCAAGAGGUGUCCUUUCACAUGCAGAGGAAUGUGUAGAUGGACAUAUAUUUGAAUAAGAUACUGAACCUAAGACUACUGCAUUAGAGCCUCGUACAAGACUUCUAAGACUGUUGACUGCCUACCAUGGAUAUUCAGGCAUCUGCAGAUACUACCUUUUGAGGAAUGAAUCCUUCUCAGGAGACAAUAGACGGAACCUGCACUUCAAUGAUAAUUAAAUGGCACUUCAAGAUAUCAAAUCAAAAUAUCAAAGUGAGAAUGGAAUAAAUUUAUUAGUACAGUGUUUUGCAAACAACUUCUUUCACA
rnacentral:sRNA from 1 species